rnacentral:rRNA from 1 species
AGUGAACGCUGGCGGUAGGCCUAACACAUGCAAGUCGAACGGCAGCACAGUAAGAGCUUGCUCUUACGGGUGGCGAGUGGCGGACGGGUGAGGAAUACAUCGGAAUCUACUUUUUCGUGGGGGAUAAUGUAGGGAAACUUACGCUAAUACCGCAUACGACCUACGGGUGAAAGCAGGGGAUCUUCGGACCUUGCGCGAUUGAAUGAGCCGAUGUCGGAUUAGCUAGUUGGCGGGGUAAAGGCCCACCAAGGCGACGAUCCGUAGCUGGUCUGAGAGGAUGAUCAGCCACACUGGAACUGAGACACGGUCCAGACUCCUACGGGAGGCAGCAGUGGGGAAUAUUGGACAAUGGGCGCAAGCCUGAUCCAGCCAUACCGCGUGGGUGAAGAAGGCCUCCGGGUUGUAAAGCCCUUUUGUUGGGAAAGAAAAGCAGCAGGUUAAUACCCCGCUGUUCUGACGGUACCCAAAGAAUAAGCACCGGCUAACUUCGUG